CAGGCUUAACACAUGCAAGUCGAGGGGCAUCAGGAAGAAAGCUUGCUUUCUUUGCUGGCGACCGGCGCACGGGUGAGUAACACGUAUCCAACCUGCCCUUUACUCGGGGAUAGCCUUUCGAAAGAAAGAUUAAUACCCGAUGGCAUAAUGAUUCCGCAUGGUUUCAUUAUUAAAGGAUUCCGGUAAAGGAUGGGGAUGCGUUCCAUUAGGUUGUUGGUGAGGUAACGGCUCACCAAGCCUUCGAUGGAUAGGGGUUCUGAGAGGAAGGUCCCCCACAUUGGAACUGAGACACGGUCCAAACUCCUACGGGAGGCAGCAGUGAGGAAUAUUGGUCAAUGGGCGCUAGCCUGAACCAGCCAAGUAGCGUGAAGGAUGAAGGCUCUAUGGGUCGUAAACUUCUUUUAUAUAAGAAUAAAGUGCAGUAUGUAUACUGUUUUGUAUGUAUUAUAUGAAUAAGGAUCGGCUAACUCCGUGCCAGCAGCCGCGGUAAUACGGAGGAUCCGAGCGUUAUCCGGAUUUAUUGGGUUUAAAGGGAGCGUAGGUGGACUGGUAAGUCAGUUGUGAAAGUUUGCGGCUCAACCGUAAAAUUGCAGUUGAUACUGUCAGUCUUGAGUACAGUAGAGGUGGGCGGAAUUCGUGGUGUAGCGGUGAAAUGCUUAGAUAUCACGAAGAACUCCGAUUGCGAAGGCAGCUCACUGGACUGCAACUGACACUGAUGCUCGAAAGUGUGGGUAUCAAACAGGAUUAGAUACCCUGGUAGUCCACACAGUAAACGAUGAAUACUCGCUGUUUGCGAUAUACAGUAAGCGGCCAAGCGAAAGCAUUAAGUAUUCCACCUGGGGAGUACGCCGGCAACGGUGAAACUCAAAGGAAUUGACGGGGGCCCGCACAAGCGGAGGAACAUGUGGUUUAAUUCGAUGAUACGCGAGGAACCUUACCCGGGCUUAAAUUGCAGUGGAAUGAUGUGGAAACAUGUCAGUGAGCAAUCACCGCUGUGAAGGUGCUGCAUGGUUGUCGUCAGCUCGUGCCGUGAGGUGUCGGCUUAAGUGCCGUAACGAGCGCAACCCUUAUCUUUAGUUACUAACAGGUUAUGCUGAGGACUCUAGAGAGACUGCCGUCGUAAGAUGUGAGGAAGGUGGGGAUGACGUCAAAUCAGCACGGCCCUUACGUCCGGGGCUACACACGUGUUACAAUGGGGGGUACAGAAGGCAGCUAGCGGGUGACCGUAUGCUAAUCCCAAAAGCCUCUCUCAGUUCGGAUCGAAGUCUGCAACCCGACUUCGUGAAGCUGGAUUCGCUAGUAAUCGCGCAUCAGCCACGGCGCGGUGAAUACGUUCCAGGGCCUUGUACACACCGCCCGUCAAGCCAUGGGAGCCGGGGGUACCUGAAGUACGUAACCGCAAGGAUCGUCCUAGGGUAAAACUGGUGACUGGGGCUAAGUC
rnacentral:rRNA from 1 species